CUUCAGCGAUCCCAGCCACAGCGGCCGCUCGGCCGGGCGGUCCUGCCCGUACACCGCGAGGAGCGCACGGGCUUC
rnacentral:antisense_RNA from 4 species